GUGGGUAGUUUGACUGGGGCGGUCUCCUCCCAAAGAGUAACGGAGGAGCACGAAGGUUAGCUAAUCCUGGUCGGACAUCAGGAGGUUAGUGCAAUGGCAUAAGCUAGCUUGACUGCGAGAGUGACGGCUCGAGCAGGUGCGAAAGCAGGUCAUAGUGAUCCGGUGGUUCUGAAUGGAAGGGCCAUCGCUCAACGGAUAAAAGGUACUCCGGGGAUAACAGGCUGAUACCGCCCAAGAGUUCAUAUCGACGGCGGUGUUUGGCACCUCGAUGUCGGCUCAUCACAUCCUGGGGCUGAAGUAGGUCCCAAGGGUAUGGCUGUUCGCCAUUUAAAGUGGUACGCGAGCUGGGUUUAGAACGUCGUGAGACAGUUCGGUCCCUAUCUGCCGUGGGCGCUGGAGAAUUGAGGGGGGCUGCUCCUAGUACGAGAGGACCGGAGUGGACGCAUCACUGGUGUUCGGGUUGUCAUGCCAAUGGCACUGCCCGGUAGCUAAAUGCGGAAGAGAUAAGUGCUGAAAGCAUCUAAGCACGAAACUUGCCCCGAGAUGAGUUCUCCCUGAGACUUAAAGUCUCCUGAAGGAACGUUGAAGACGA
rnacentral:rRNA from 1 species